UACGUAGGGGGCUAGCGUUGUCCGGAUUUAUUGGGCGUAAAGAGCGUGUAGGCGGCCAGGUAGGUCUGGUGUGAAAACUCGAGGCUUAACCUCGAGAUGUCAUCGGAAACCAUCUGGCUAGAGUCCGGAAGAGGAGAGUGGAAUUCCUGGUGUAGCGGUGAAAUGCGCAGAUAUCAGGAAGAACACCAAUGGCGAAAGCAGCUCUCUGGGACGGUACUGACGCUGAGACGCGAAAGCUAGGGGAGCGAACAGG
rnacentral:rRNA from 1 species